rnacentral:rRNA from 1 species
GACGAACGCUGGCGGCGUGCUUAACACAUGCAAGUCGAACGGAAAGGCCCUUCGGGGUACUCGAGUGGCGAACGGGUGAGUAACACGUGGGUGAUCUGCCCUGCACUUUGGGAUAAGCCUGGGAAACUGGGUCUAAUACCGAAUAGGACCGCGCGCUUCAUGGUGUGUGGUGGAAAGCUUUUGCGGCGUGGGAUGGGCCCGCGGCCUAUCAGCUUGUUGGUGGGGUAAUGGCCUACCAAGGCGACGACGGGUAGCCGGCCUGAGAGGGUGACCGGCCACACUGGGACUGAGAUACGGCCCAGACUCCUACGGGAGGCAGCAGUGGGGAAUAUUGCACAAUGGGCGCAAGCCUGAUGCAGCGACGCCGCGUGAGGGAUGACGGCCUUCGGGUUGUAAACCUCUUUCACCAGGGACGAAGCGCAAGUGACGGUACCUGGAGAAGAAGCACCGGCCAACUACGUG